ACUUUUCCAGUUGAUUACAUUUACGUAACCAAAUAUCAUUAGGAUUAGUUAUUGUUUCCAUUUUUUCCCUUUUUUGUUUUAAAAGCUGACGAGUGAUGACUUCAUUACGGAAAGAAGGAGGCCUGACACGGUUACUACAGUCUUCGCCAAAGUCAUGGAGAUUACAGUGAAAGACCAAAUCUCAAACUACUUUGAAAUGAUUGAAUUAUUUACAGAAGCGUAGCAUGGUUUCCGGUAAGGCAAAUCUACAGCAGCAACAGCAUUAGACCUGAUAAUGAUCAACAAGUGCUGCAGAGCAAAGUUCCAUCAUGUGUCAAGACAUAGACAAAGAGAAUUAAAGAUGAUGGAAGAGGACAGAUGUCAGAAAUCAGUGGGAGACUCUAAAUGGCAUUCAUCAAAUUGUUUCAAGCCCACAUCAGAGAGCAACUGAAUAGAAUGUUUAUAGACGGUAGUCUAUUCAAACAUUAAGUAUACCAGAAAGAGCGUAAGUUUCAUUUUUCCCAAAUUAAUUUUUUGAUUCAAAUGUGUGUGUAUAAUAACUGGAUUCAGCUAUAACAGCAUCUCAUUAAUUCAAACAUAAUUUUUAGAAUGGGAAAGUAGCACUGAAAACACAAUCUCCUUAUCUUAAAAAACAUUAACAUGAGUGAAAUUUAUUGUCAAUCUGGAGCCCCAGUUGUUUGUGGAUUAUGGGCAAAAAUAAGAAUAAACAGUGUGAAGAAGGAUGAGAAACAUUGUAAGUGGGAGAAAUUUACUCUGAAGGUCAGGUCUUGAGAGACAUAGCAACACUUUUUCCCUCUUUUUGCAUCUUAUAAUGAUUAUUCCAUGAUGACAAAACUUUCUUAUGAAAAAUCAAGUUUUUGUAUUAACAAACACAAUCGGUAAAUUUUGUAUCAGCUACUAUUUUAUGUAUUUUCAAUAUAGUCUUUUUUUUGUUU